AUUAGGUCCUGAUCUUCCCCUCCAGUGUUUCCUAAGUAGGACAUCACGCAGGGAAUCGUAUCGAUCGAAGUCGGUGGAAGCACGAGCCGACGGUGACGAUGCCGAAGAAGAUGGGCGUGAACACGAAGGCAGAGGAGGCGAGAGCCCGCCGGAGCGCCGCUGAAGCGGAUCGCAAGGAACGGGAGACCAAGGAGAAAGAGGAGAAGUACUGGCGGGAUGCGGAGGGUUCCAAAUCCCGUGCUUCAAAGAAGCGGGAGGACGAGGCGGAGAAGCGUGCGGAAGCAGCCGCUCGCCGCGCCGAGACCCGCAGGAUCGCAGAGCAGGAGCAACGUGAUCUGGAGGCCGCUGGACGCCGGCCCGACCAAAAGGCUUCCCGCGUCUCGAUUCCGGUCCCCAAGGUCACUGAGGCCCAACUCCAGCGCCGCCGCGAGGAGGAACAACAGCGCAUCCUUCAGACCUCUGAGGUCGCCAAGAAACGCCAGACCCGAACCGCCGACGAGGAGGAGUACCACCGGAUCGUGAUGGUGGAGAAUACCAAUCGCGAUGACUCUAUCAUCGAAGCCCAUAACGUAGACGAGGCGAUUGCGAAGAUGGUUCUUUCGGAGCCCGCUUUACCUGCUGAUCGUCAUCCAGAGAGGAGGCUCAAGGCUUCGUUCAAGGCAUUCGAAGAAGAGGAGCUUCCCAAAUUGAAGGAAGAGAAACCAGGCCUGACCUUUAAUCAGUACAGGGAUAUGAUAUGGAAGCUUUGGAAGAAAUCCCCUGACAACCCCCUCAACCAGGUCACAAAGGAAAAUCAAAAAACUGGCGUUGCUGGUGCUGCUGACUGACGUUGAGCUAUUUUUAUUUAAAGAAUACAGGUUACUUUUGUUCUCGCCCUCAGUUUCUUGUGCUUUCUUGUGUUUUUCUAAUACUCGAAUCACAAAGGAUGCUUGUUCAUUGCUAGUGCCGGUAAUGCAAUCUGCUCGUUUAUGGAGAGAUCGGUAGAUUUAUAAGCUACAAGACCCCACUAGUACUUAUUUUCUCCACAGCCACUCAGAAAUUGUCUAACUCUUGAUAUUAAGUGCUAAGAUGAGAAUGCAGCCUUUUGAAUUAUGUAAAAUAUCGCAGUGUCGAGCCAUUGUGCCAAUACUGCGUUACAUGUGCGAACUUUUUUAUUCAUCCUGUUUGUGGUUUUUUACA